rnacentral:lncRNA from 1 species
ACCUUAUUUUACCGGUCCUGGGAGGAUGUAAACAAUUUUGAUCUAACUGGGAUUUGAACUCAGAACGUAAAGACUUAUAAUAAAUACUUGCAAAUAAUUUUUUCCAAUAGUCUAGCAACUGUCACCAACAUCGGUAUGGAAUUUAAGGAAUUGGCUCAUCGAUUGUAACAACAGCACUACAUGUCUGCUACUUUAUUUUAUGGACCCUUAUAGGAGGAGAGGUAAAAAGGACCCCAUCGAGAUUUGAACUUGGAACAGAAAGAGUUGCAAGAAAUGCCUCAAGGUUCUAACAACGAUUUUGCUAAUCCAUCGCACUUUCAUCAUAGGCCACAACGGCCUUUGCUUACAGUACAAAAUGUGUCAUACAUAAAAUUUUUACAAGCCAUUUGGGGAUGUACGCAUGUAUAUGUAUAAUAUAUGUGAGACAAAAAUAUUAUAGAAAUAUUUAAUUCUUUAUUGCCCACAGGGGGUUAAACAUAGAGGAGACAAACAAGGACAAAGAGAUUAAGUCGAUUACAUCGACCCAUAGUGCGUAACUGGUACUUAUUUAAUCGAAUCCGAAAGGAUGAAAGGCAAAGUCGGCCUCGGCGGAAUUUGAACUCACAACAUAACGGCAGACGAAAUACCCAUUUCUUUACUACCCGCAAGGGGAUAAAUACAGAGAGGACAAACAAGGACAGACAAAGGAAUUAAGUCGAUUACAUCGACCCCAGUGCGUAACUGGUACUUAAUUUAUCGACCCCGAAAGGACGAAAGGUAUAGUCGACCUCGGUGGAAUUUGAACUCACAUCAUAACGGCAGACGAAAUACCGCUAAGCAUUUCGCCGGCGUGCUACCGAUUCUGCCAACAGUUCUACGAAUAGUUCUUUGACUUUCCUCUCUUCCUUUUAACUUUGGGUGUUGCUAUUCGAAGGAUUGCCUGACAACACUUCAAUGGGUGCCUUCCCUGGGUGUGCUCAGUCCAAGGCCAUCUUGUUUGUAUUCUAUAUCAAUAAGGACCUACUAGAUUUACUUCCAGAAGUCUAGAUUUCCAGACGUAAUUCGGCAGGAGUAAUGCAACUCGUGGCCUCACAUCAACUUCAGUGUUGCCUCUUCGGCAUAAAUCACUUUCUGCAAACUGAAUUAUCUGAAUUUACCCCUGAGUAUCUUCGAACCAUGCAGCCUCACAUAUACAGUGGACAAUGGUUGUUGGUUUUACCUACUGGCUAUCCCUGCUGUGUACGAUAAUCAUCAUUCUUCAUAUUUUCAAUCGGCACAUUAAUCAACCAUGUCCUUUCUCUUUAAGCUCAUUUAGCAUGUCCAACAAGUUUUUGUUAAUAUGAGGUUCCGACACCCCAGGAAAGUGGAUGCCUCUUCAUGAGGAACACUUGGCUUUUGAACUGGCUCACAUUUUUGUAUUGCUUCUUUCUUGUCUUCCCGUCGCCUCAGCAUGAUGUAGAAGUACUACUGCUGCUCUUAGUCCCUGGCGAGUUCUGUGCUCGAAAAUAAAUGUUGUAACUCAGCAUCUCGGUCGACUCUUUUCUCCUUUUUUGUCUUUCUCCCCCGGGUUGAGGACCUUCAAGUAGCCUUCACCACUACAUGUGUAGGCAGUUUAAACCGUCUACUUUCCCUCGAUAGUGUUUCACAUAUAGCCUUGUGAUCUUUUGGCGCCAUUAGAAUCUAAACGUCAAAGGCGGUGAGCUAGAAGAAACGUUAGCACGCCGGGCGAAAUGUCUAGCGGCAUUUCGUCUGCCGUUACGUUCUGAGUUCAAAUUCCGCCGAGGUUGACUUUGCCUUUCAUCCUUUCGGGGGUCGAUAAAUUAAGUACCAGUUACGCACUGGGGUCGAUGUAAUCGCCUUAAUCCGUUUGUCUGUCCUUGUUUGUCCCCUCUAUGUUUAGCUCCUUGUGGGCAAUAAAAAAAUAAGAAUCUAAACGUCAUUAUAGACCCCGCUCGACUAUGUAUCAUUGCAGACAGCCUUCACAUAUAUUGUCUACAUGUAUUAUGCUGCAAAACUAAUGACAUGUCAAUGAUCAAUGAUAUGUCUGGCCGGAACCCUCGUAUUUAUUCAACAUUCAUACUGCUGCACUAAUCUAUGGACAUUUGUGUGACGCACCAUCUCUACCUGUUUCUUCGUUUUAUUCUACAUAUUUAAAACCAGACACAUACCUUUCCAUGCUCUGACUCGGUCGAUGGCGCACAUAGCUUGUCUCGUUUUUUCUUGUUUAUUUUUUAAAAUUUAAUUUUCGAGAUCUCAAGAAUUUUGGGUCGUAUUCCUUGUUGCCUUUUUUUUUAUUGAUUUUUUUUAUUAGCAUCCAUCCCAAAGGUGACCCUUUAGCAAACCUAAAUUAAUUCCGGGAAAAGAUCUCGUGCAAUAAAAAUUUUAGGUUUAGGAUAAAAGAUAUUUUGAAACUCUUUACAAAUGAAAAGAAUUCCGCCAAAAAUGGAUCAUUUUCCCAUCGAAUACUCUUUUUUUUUUCAAGACCUCCGUUAUACCUCCGUUUUGAGCGUCUGUUCAUGGCAAUCGUCAUCAUCAUCAUCAUCAUCAUCAACAGCAACAACAAUAAUCUCUAAUUUAAGCACAAGACCAAUGAUUAUGAGGGGAUGGGAUUAGUAGAUACCAUUGAUUGAUUGGUUCUCACUUUAAUGAUCCCUGAAGAAUGAAAUGCAAAGCUGACAGCGGAAUUUGAACUCGGAAUGUAAGAAGCCAGGAAAAAUACCGCUAAACAAUUUUGUCUAACUCUCAAAUGAUGAUGAUGAUGAUGGUAGUGGUGGUGGUGGUGAUUAACAACAACAACAACAACAACAACAACAACAACAAUAAUUUCACUUAUUUCUCGUAAGGGCUCAGCUAUUCACAAACUUAUCACACAAAGUUUAUAAUACAUAAAAACGAGAAGUGGAUUAAAAACACUAUACGAUAUAAGACAUUUAAAAUUUAGAUGAAAUCGCAAAUAAGCAAUAAAUAGAAAGAUAUAGAUAAACAUAAAUAAAACUGAAAUAGCGAAAAAGAUAACAUCCCCACACAAAUGAGAAACUGCCAUGCAGAUCGAAUCAGAACCCUGCAUCAUUUCACCGGCCUUCCAUUCUUGGAACUGGAAACUAGCUCAUCCUAAAAUCCUUUUGAAUAUAUUCUGUUACUCGAGGAUUCCACAUCCUGUGGUCUUGUCUUCAAGUGAUUUUCGGCUAUCGGUAAUCUAUCAUAUGAAUGCUUUUUGAGUUCCAUGCCCUUCUGAAUCAAUACAGUUCACUGAUCUUUCCUUCGGUUCGCUUAUGAAAUCUAUGAGUGUCGUUGGUGUCCCAUGCAGCCGUGAAUCACACAGUCGCAUGGUCCUGAGAGCUUUCUCUGAAAGUCAUACAUACCUUCGGCAUAAUUUUUGUCUUUUGUGUUUUUUUGUGUCUUUUGUGUGCAGCGUGUGUGUAUUGUUGUUGUUGUUGUUAAGCAAUAAGAUGGGUAAGGGUGAUUAGGUGAUGGUCUAGGGCUUUGGGGCAGGAGACCCCAGACCAUGGAAAAAAAAACUUUGGUCGUCUUGUUGUAAUCGAGAGCUCUUCGUUGACGUCCGACACCACUAAGAGGUGGCCCUCAAAGUCGCUGGAAAUGGAGAUCUCCAGGUCCAAAUUCUUGGACGGCGUGUGUGUGUGUGUGUGUGUGUGUGUGUUUAAUAAAAUAAAACACGUAAGAUUGUUUAUAAGAGAUAUUUAGUUACACUAUCUUUCGUUCGUUCCAUUAAUAAUUGGAGAUUAUUAGUUACGUAAUGUAAAUUAGAUUAUCAAGAUGUACUGUCAAAUCGUCAAAGACGUGUAACGUUUAUAUGUAGCAGUAUUUGGACAGUAGAAAUAUUGAUAGAAGUAACCAUCGUAAAGAUUACGUAUGAAAGGUCACAUGUCACUAAUAAUUUGACAAUGUAUAUGUAUGUACGUAAGUUAGAGGUGAAAAUGCCUGAAAAUUCAUCAUAUGUAUGUAAUUAUAUAUAUAACGGGAAGCUUUAUGAAAAUAGACAAAAGACGAAGGCAGGUUUUCGGAAAUAAACAAAAGACGAAGGCAGGUGGAAUACAAACAAACAAUUGUAUUAGUAUGGCGCUCAGGAAUAUAAAUAAAACAAGUCUUUAACGUUUCGAGCCUACGCUCUUCAACAGAAAGAUACACAGAGAAGAAACACAGAAUUAUAUAUAUAUGUAUGUGUUGUGUGUGUGUGUGUGUGUGUAUGCCUUUCGUGACAAUUUACUACUCCUCUUAGUAUCUACUACUCCUCCUUAUCGUCACAGGACAAUAGGGUGGUAUUACUGAGAAGACCUCUUGAAUUGCUAGUCGUUGGUUCCACAAGACGAAACUAUUUCUCUGAUAUCCUAAAAAGUGCGAUAGGUGGAGCUCCCAAAUAGCAAUUUAUGGGUUUGUUGUUGUUGUAGUUGCUGCCUCUGUCGUUGUCCAUCACUUUCUUUCUUUGCUUUUGCAGUUCCUUUUACCCGAAAGCCCUGAAGAGGUUCUCACCUUCAACAUAUAUCUAACUAGGGCUUUCUACUGUGCACCACCUGCUUAAUUGCUUUAAUUUUUACUCCCAUAGUGAAAUACAGCUCCGUAAAUACAUUAGUAAGUAUUGGAGGGGAUCAGAACUUGCAUGUCCAUGCAUGUCUUGUCCGUGCCGCGAAGUUGAAGAAAAGUGUAGGAUCAGUAAGUAUCACAACCAAAAUCUCUGAUUGUGAACUUACUGCUUCGUUUUCUUAUAUACUGGGUAUCACCUGAGAGCAAGUAUGUGGUGUUCCAACACCGUUUGUCGCCUCUGUUUUCAUUGCCUUAAAGACCAACGGCACUCGUUUAUACAUCCCAACAUGUUAGGCUGUGCACACAUUGACCAACGUUUCUUGUAACUUCCUUUAAGAAAAACAGAAUUACGUUAUUCUCUUACUUGUCAUUUCCUCUAAGAAUUUCUAGGGCAUCCGUAAAACUAUAGAAUAGACCAUCAAAAAUUGCGAAGUUCCUUGUUUACAAAACGAAAUUAAAAAAAAGGAUUUUUAUUUAGCAAUUAUAUCUUGGUAAAAUCUAACAUUUUAAUUGAUCUCUCUCAAAGACGUCCACACACGUCCACACACGUCCACUCACAGCAACAACGACAGCAAAAAUAAAUAAUAUAAAUAUAUUCGCCAUGUCACUAUAGCUUCUAUUAAACAAGAACUUGCAACGUUCUGCAGUUACCACCCAAAAGCUGAUGUAAACAGAAUACAACCAUCCCGUUCACAAUGAAGGUGGGUCUGAUACUUAGAAGCUAGUAAAAUAACUUAAAGAAAACAAAACCAUUUUUCUAUGUAUAAGAAAACAAGAAAAUACACACUAGGAAUUAAGGGUAACACAGCAAACGAUAUUAAAAUACAAAACACAAAAUCAAAACGAAUUCUAAAAUGUAGUUAAGUAAAAAUGGAGGGAAAACACUCCUUGGUCAAUAACUUACGAGUCUAAACUGAGAUGAAGCAAACCAGAGUGAACGACAAUAAUGAUCCGAAACACUCUGCUAAAAUCAGAAACGAAAGGUUUGACAUUAUCUGCAUAGAACCAGUGACAAGUCACAAACAACUACGGAAAUAUAAUAAAAAGAUCAAGUGCAGGUAAUGUAGUGAGUAGACUGAGACGACGGCCAUAUUUCUGGUAGUCUUCACCAAGUUAAAAGUGUAUUGAGAGGCACAGUCAACUCGGCUACCAUGUCCACUGGCAGUCCAAUUAACAACAUUUGUAUCUUGCCCACAAUUUUAAGGACUAAAAUAACAGGUUGUGGACAUGAAACUAAAAUCAUUAUCAAUUACUAAUUGGUGCAUUAGUUAUGGUCAAAAUAUUUGAACAAAAGUAUACAUAGCUCACUGGUGCUCAUAACAUUUCAUAUGGACUAAAAAGAUAAGAACCGUGCUGCCCACAUCCGAACCGUGCAGCCCACAUCCGAACCGUGCAGCCCACAUCCGACGCAAGACGAUUUCAUAUCAGUAACACAAAUACUACAUACAACCCGAUAUACUCUAUACCGGUGGUUCCCGACUGGGGCCCGUUAUAAAAUUUUUUUGUCGAAAUUUAUGUGCAAUAAAUUGGUUAUACUUCUUUCUCUCCCCCUCUUUUCAAGCCUAGCCAGGCUCAUGGGCCCGGUUUCCAGGUUUCUGCGGCGUAUGUGCUCCCCCCAGCUGGACGGGACGCCAGUCCAUCGCAGCGUUACUCAAGAAACAGGAAAAGAGAGUGAGAGAAAGUUGUGGCGAAAGAGUACAACAGGGGUUGCUACCCCCCCCCCCCCCUGCCGGAGCCUCGUGGAGCUUUUGGGCGUUUUCGCUCAAUAAACACACACAACGCCCGGUCUGGGAAUCGAAACCGCUAUCCUCCGACCGCGAGUCCGCUGCCCUAACCACUGGGCCAUUGCACCUCCGGUUAUACUUCUACAAUAUACAAAAUACCUUAAAUAUCUCUAAACAAUUCUUAGUAAUAUUGAUUUUAAAUUUUGACACAAGACCAGCAAUUUCGGGAGAGGGAAUAAGUCCAAUACAUCAACCCCAGUGCAUAACUGGUACUUAUUUUAUCAAACCCGAAAGAAUGAAAGGCAAAGUCGAACUCGGCGGAAAAUGAAUUCAGAACGUGAAGACGGAUGAAAUGCCGCUAAACAUUUUAAUCUAAGUGCUAACGAUUCUUAUUUCUUUAUUGCCCACAAGGGGCUAAACAUAGACGGGACAAACAAGGACAGACAAACGGAUUAAGUCGAUUACAUCGACCCCAGUGCGUAACUGGUACUUAAUUUAUCGACCCCGAAAGGAUGAGAGGCAAAAUCGACCUCGGCGGGAAAUGAAUUCCGAACGUGAAGACGGAUAAAAUGCCGCUAAACAUUUUAGCCUAAGUGCUAACGACUCUGCCAGCUCGCCGCCUUAGAAUUCCUAGUAAUAUUAAAUUAUAAAAAUACAGGAUGUUUUUUAUAUACGUUGAAUGGCUGUGGAAGCCCAGGAGGGUGAAAUAGGAAUCAAAGGAGUUCAUAUGCAAAAAAUUGUUAACCAUUGCUUCUAGACACUAUAAAAAUCUCCGUUAUAACACAUUUAUUCUACAUAAUUAUCACCAAAUACCAUAACACAACAACAAUGCUAUUAUAGAAUCUAUUCUUGACACUACACCAGCACAAAUAUCCUUAAAAAUGGUUGCCGUCCAUUAACAUAAUUACAAGCUAAUUGGCACAACAUGACGCUAACACCUGCGGCACAACUCACAGCACAGAUCGACGGAAUAAACCAUCAUCCAACAAAAUAAUACAACUGCCAUUGUACGGAUACUCUGCAACAGAUUCAGCAUUAAAGCAACACCAGAAAACAGCAAACGAAAAUCCGACAACAAUGCAGAACUGAUGUAGGAUACCAAUGCAAUUCUACAUUCCCCCAGAAGACAACACCACCACCACCACCACCACCACCGUCCGGAAAUACAGAGCUGCAGCAGGUGAUGCAGAAGAAAUUGCAUAAAAGCGUUGAGAUAAUGAUAAGAAAAAAAAAUGAAUGAAUGAUGAUGAUGAGGAGG